AACGAACGCUGGCGGCAGGCCUAACACAUGCAAGUCGAGCGAGCAUUUCGGUGCUAGCGGCGGACGGGUGAGUAACGCGUGGGAACGUGCCCUUUUCUGCGGAAUAGUCCUGGGAAACUGGGGGUAAUACCGCAUACGCCCUUUUGGGGAAAGAUUUAUCGGAGCAGGAUCGGCCCGCGUUGGAUUAGGUAGUUGGUGGGGUAAUGGCCCACCAAGCCGACGAUCCAUAGCUGGUUUGAGAGGAUGAUCAGCCACACUGGGACUGAGACACGGCCCAGACUCCUACGGGAGGCAGCAGUGGGGAAUCUUAGACAAUGGGGGCAACCCUGAUCUAGCCAUGCCGCGUGAGUGAUGAAGGCCUUAGGGUUGUAAAGCUCUUUCAGCUGGGAAGAUAAUGACGGUACCAGCAGAAGAAGCCCCGGCUAACUCCGUG
rnacentral:rRNA from 1 species